CUCUGUGUGGUGUUGUUCUUUCUCCUCCGUUCUGGAAGAUUUCAGAGGCACAGACUCACAGCUGUAACCUGACCAGGCACAUGAGACAAAAAUUAGAGGGACCACUACGAUAUUCCAAAUAUUCCUAACACAAAGUCAAUGCAACGAUGCGAAUAGAUGCGAAUGAAGUGCAGGGCGGUGCGAAUGAAGCGAAUGGCGUGACUCGAACAUGCGAAAUCACUUCAUUCGCAUAUUUAAAAUUGAAACAUUUCAACUUGCGCGAAAGAUCCGCAUGACGCGUUGUUGCAAAAGCCUAUCAGCAUUGAGAUUGUCCGGAUGUCACUGGAGUACUGACGUAGUAGCAGAAGAAAUCUGGAAAAAUUUAUGAAAAAUUGAGAAACACAAUGUCAUACAUGUACAGAGACCAGAUGAAAAAGACAUCGCUUGGAGGAAAGUGAGCGAGGAAGUUAGAAUACCUGUGUGGAUGAUCUGGGCUGCAAAGGACCAAGGGCGGGUGGAAUCAGUGGUUGGGCCAUACAAGCUGUAUGAUUCAUCCUUUCGUACCCUGCAAGAGACUGGCUGAUGAAUGUGUCAACAUGGCAACCUCCACCUCCCCACUGCCACCAGUCAAGUCCCAUCUUGCAUGGGGGGUAGGCGCUCGCUCCCUGCCUUCUAUCUCCAGUACGAUCUGACGGUUCGAGUAGCAGUCUCAUCGGACCGCCAGAUGGGGCAUACACCAAAAGAGAAAAUAUACUCUGUGCUUCAAUAUCAUUUCACUUUACCAUGCCUGCAACUGCCUUUUCCACCAACUUAGUCAUCUGUAUCUGCAAAAUCCACAAAUGGUUGAUCUCUAGCUUAAACCAAGGUGGUUAGCUGGACUCCCAACCUGGUCAAACCUGGUCUGUAUUGCUGGUUUUAGUUUUGGCCUUUGUCAGCUGGUUUUUGCUGGGGGGGGGGGGGGUCUGCCUCCAGAGUCCUAAUUCCCUGAGCCUGUUGCGGCUCCACCCACUCCGCCUCCUGCAGAGCUUUCUCCUGAGCUGUCUACUGCUCCACCCCCUGCGGCUCCACCUCCAGAGACUCAAUUCCCUAAACCUCCUUUGCCUACGGCUCCUCCUCAGACUCAAGUCCCUGAUCCUCCAGUGGCUCAGCAUGCUCCGCCUCCUGAGACUCAACUCCCUGAACCAACUGUGGCUCCACCCCCUGGGUCUUCACCAUCAGCGGCUCCGCACCAUCCUGGAGCCUAUCCCAUUUUUCAUCAUUCAUCAUCUAGUCUCAGCUGUGUGUGUGUGUGUGUGUGUGUGUGUGUGUGUGUGUGUGUGUGUGUGUGUGUGUUACACUCUGCAUUUGGGUUCAAACUGCAUCCCUCUCCAUGUUCAUGCGUGACAGAUACAAUGUGAACACAACUAGCAAUGGUUAACAAAAUACUAUUUGAUUAAACAACUGUUAAUACUGCUAUCUGCAAAUCGUUCAAAUAAAUUAGGAAGACAAAUGUUGGACGUCAUGGACAGAGAAAUAAAUUAGUCAUAGUUGAAGAUAAACUUUAAGUAUGCAUGGCUAUUUUUUCCACAUUUGUGCUCAAUAAACCUAUAAAUAUUCAGCAAAAGAGAGAAUUAUGGGCAAACUAUGUCAGCAUUAAUCUUGACUGCUUCAGCUAAGGGCCAUAACCUUAGGUUAUGGUCCACAGGCCAUUCCAUAAAUACACACUCCAUUACUGCUAGAGGGGGCAAGGCACUGAGCCUCAACACAUAGUGCUGCACUGUGCCAUUACAGAGCCUCCCUGCAUAUGCCCCACUGUAAAUAAAAAAUACCACCCAUGCUGUUACUAUCGCAUACAGACUGUAAACCAUCAUCUGUAUCUCUGGUCACUAAACAAGAGCAACACUGCAGUGUUUUGCAGAUAAUUUGUUGACAUGAUUUUUACUUUAAGAAUUUUACCUCAUCCCUCAAGAGCAAGAAAGAAGGCUAUUCAGCAUAUGUUGUCUAGAGUACUUCUUUAAUUUUUGCAGACUAUCUUUCACCACUACAAUUAAAAUGGUUGUAACUGAAGCACAAAUAAUGCAAAUUCACAUAAAAACAUCUCCUUUAAAAAGUCAACAUGAACUCAAAACUGACCCCAUUUACUUUAAUGCAAUAAUGCAUGUUCCUGGUCUUAUUAAGAAUGAUUUAUUGGUUCACAUUAUUCCAAAAAAUGUUGUAACUUGCUCUUCCUCUCAAACAACUUUCCUGUUCUACUGAUGUCACUUAGGAUAUGAGGGCUAUUGGAUAAAGUUAAGCAAUAGCCAAAUAGCUAUUUAGGCAUUGUUUUUGCAAACAUUUUCCCAUUAAAAUCUGGCUCCAUUCUGGCAUGGAACACCCACUUUCAUGAUCCAAUCAAUUUGCAAUGGAUAAUUCUUACUGAAUACCGUUUCACUCUGUAUUAUGUCACAUUACAGAAGUAAAUUGUGUUGCGAAUGAAAUUUCACUAUUACUUUAAACUUAACAUUUACACAUAAAACAUUUGAGAUGAUUGAGCAGUGUUCCUUCAUUUUCUGGAUACAAGUGGUGACAACAAGUUUAGUCUCAGAACUCCCCUGUUUCCCCAUUUUAGUGACUGAGCAAUAGAAUCAAUAGAGGUCAAGUGAGCAAAAGUCAAGUGAGAGAAAGACAAACAUGUCUUUUCACUAUCAACUCCUCUCAGACAGUUCACACAAUGAGGAGUUUUGAUUUCACAUACAAAAUUGUCAGAAUAUGUCUGAAGAGAAUAAGCUUGCUUAUUUAAUGCAAGAGUGGUCCAUUCUUCAUUUGAAUGCACAAUAAAAAACAAGAUAAAUAUGUAAAUAAAAUUAAUAAAGAAAAUAAUAAUGUUUGAAUAUAGAAACAAUGAUCUGUCAGUUUCAGGAAAAUAAAUGUUUCCCAUCAUAAAUUAUGUAAGUGAUACUCUCCACAUGCGAUCGUGGUUUGGCCGCAGUUAUGUUCAUUACCACGGGUCUGUUGAAUGCCUCAUUCUGAUUGGUUGACAAAUGUUAAAAGGUGUGCAAUUAUUUUUCAAGUAAACGCAUAGCUAAGUAGUUCCAGGUCUUGACCGCAUAAUGGUUCCAUAUCACUUCGCCAAAUUAUUUCAGUUAUUUCAAUGAGCCUUACAGGUUACCACAACAAAAUAACCAAAUAAAACAAAGACUUUAGUUAUGUACAUCAGAUAAGAAUGACAAACAAUGUCUAUAAUAUUCUAAAUUUAUUUCAAUUUCGAUUGAAAAGUGUCCUUGGGCUCCCUCUCUUUCUAGCUCUCUCUCUUUCGCUCUCAUCUCACACUACCACAGCAAAAUAACCAUAUUGUGGCAGGGCGGGGGCCGGGUCGUGAUUUUACACUCCCGGCCCCUUAUCAGGCUAAUCAAGUCUCCGAGAGGGAUAAAGGCCGACUGCGAACGGUGGUGCGACAGAGAGAGAGAGUUUAUGGGAAGCUGUCCGUCAUAUGUGUGUUUGUGUAUUUUGGUUCAGUUUUAUAUUAAAACUAUUAUUUAUAUUGUCAAGAUGGUUCUUGCCUCCUCCUUUCACUUAAUCCCUUUACACAUAUAAACCAAGAUAUUGGUUAAAGUAAAUCUGUUAAGAAUGUAAAACAAUGUAUAUCAUAUCCUACAGUUAUUUCAAU